rnacentral:rRNA from 1 species
UCCCGUACUGGUGAUAAUUGCGAUGGGGGGACGGAGAAGGCUAGGCUAUCCGGGCGACGGUUGUCCCGGUUUAAGGAUGUAGGCAGGUGAAUUAGGCAAAUCCGGUUCACUAUAUGCUGAGGUCCGAUGACGAGUCACUACGGUGAUGAAGUAGCUCAUGCCCCGCUUCCAGGAAAAGCCUCUAAGCUCUAGAUUAUCAUUAAUCGUACCCCAAACCGACACAGGUGGUCAGGUAGAGAAUACUCAGGCGCUUGA